AGGGAUGUAGCGCAGUUUGGUAGCGCCAUUGUUUUGGAUAAAAAAUGUCACGGGUUCAAAUCCUGUCAUCCUUA
rfam:Capsicum annuum cultivar Zunla-1 chromosome 11, whole genome shotgun sequence